GAUGAACGCUGGCGGCGUGCCUAAUACAUGCAAGUCGAGCGAACAGACGAGGAGCUUGCUCCUUUGACGUUAGCGGCGGACGGGUGAGUAACACGUAGGUAACCUACCUAUAAGACUGGGAUAACUUCGGGAAACCGGAGCUAAUACCGGAUAAUAUUUCGAACCGCAUGUUUCGAUAGUGAAAGAUGGCUUUGCUAUCACUUAUAGAUGGACCUGCGUCGUAUUAGCUAGUUGGUAAGGUAACGGCUUACCAAGGCAACGAUACGUAGCCGACCUGAGAGGGUGAUCGGCCACACUGGAACUGAGACACGGUCCAGACUCCUACGGGAGGCAGCAGUAGGGAAUCUUCCGCAAUGGGCGAAAGCCUGACGGAGCAACGCCGCGUGAGUGAUGAAGGUCUUCGGAUCGUAAAACUCUGUUAUUAGGGAAGAACAAACGUGUAAGUAACUGUGCACGUCUUGACGGUACCUAAUCAGAAAGCCACGGAUAACUACGUG
rnacentral:rRNA from 1 species